AAAUCAUAAAGAAAUAAUAUAGAAAUUCAAAAAUAUACUAAAAUAGAAAUCUUAAUAAAAUAUUAAAAUAGAAACCGUAAUUAAAUCUAAGUCAAAUCUUAAUCAAUGUCUAACCAAAUCCUAAUCAAAUCCUAAAUAAAUCUUAAAUAAAUCCUAAUCAAAUUCUAAAAAAAUCCUAAAUAAAUCCUAAUAAAAUCCUAAAUAAACCUUAGUCAAAUCCUAAACAAAUCUUAAUCAAAUUCUAGUCAAAUCCUAAUAAAUCCUAACCAAAUCCUAACCAAAUCCUAAUCAAAUCCUAAAUAAAUACUAAUCAAAUCUUAAACAAAUAUUAACCAAAUCCUAGUCAAAUCCUAAUAAAUCCUAACUAAAUCCUAAUCAAAUCCUA
rnacentral:lncRNA from 1 species